CCUCCCAGACUCGGGAGGUGACGUGUGCAGGGAGUCCCCGGGCUCCUCCUCCUCCCCCCUGCAGCCGGAAGGAGACAAGGCUGUGAUGCGGGGGAGAAGGAGGAGGGGGGCCGCACCAGCAGGCAGCAGCAGCUCAGACUGAAUCAGAGUCGCACUGUGUCGAUAUCCAUGCAACAGCCAACGUUUUUCUUCGGCACACGUGCCCGAGUCGCACUGCGCAAUCGUCCCACUUUUGUUCUUAAAGAGGCGCAGGUCGGAAUGAAAUGCACAGUAUCAGAAAGCCGAUUUGUGUCUGUUUAUGUUGGGGAUAAGAUACGUGAAAUGAACAGAACCAGAAUCAGGAUUUGGGAGCU